UACAGAGGUCCCGAGCGUUGUUCGGAUUCAUUGGGCGUAAAGGGUGCGUAGGUGGCGCCGUAAGUGGGGUGUGAAAUCCCCGGGGCUUAACCCCGGGACUGCAUUCCAUACUGCGGUGCUUGAGGACUGGAGAGGAGACUGGAAUUUACGGGUGUAGCAGUGAAAUGCGUAGAGAUCGUAAGGAAGACCAGUGGCGAAGGCGGGUCUCUGGACAGUUCCUGA
rnacentral:rRNA from 1 species